rnacentral:lncRNA from 1 species
AGCUGCAAGAUAUCAUUGGUAUUCAGCAGAAGACAUCCUCAUGCGAGCAAAGAACAGUACUAGCACUUGAAUAGAUAAGUAAUCCUGAAAAAUUGACCUGUCUUGUUGUCGCCGGGUGUGAAGAGAUCGGAGGUGGUGUUGGAGUAGGAGUACCCUACGCCUGCGGGGGAGUCCAAGAAGAGCAUGUUGGCCACUGCAAGGAACGAGCCGAUCCAAUUCCAUCCCAGUGUCAGUUGUCAAGGAAGCUAACACAAUUCUCGGUCAAAAGAAGAAGAGAGCGAGGGAGAAAAAAAAUCGACUCUUGUUCCAGGAGUAGGGGUUGGGGACGAGCGUGGUGCCGUCGGGGCUGAUCCGGAAGGCGCCGAGCUCCUCGGAUGCGCCGUAGCCGACGGAGGAGCAGCCGGGCCCGCCGUUGAGCCAGAGCACGAGCGGGGCCGAGUCCGGCGCGGCGGUGGAGGAGGCCUCGAUGAGCCAGUAGAAGAGCGCCCGCCCCGCGGCGGCGUCCACGGUGACGUAGCCCGAGUACAUGGAGAAGUUGACCGGCGGCUGGCCCGGCAGCCGCGUGAUGCGGUCGGCCGCCGCCGCAGAGGUGGUAGUAGCCGAGGCGGGCGCGCAGCUGGAGAGAGACGGCGCCAGGAUGGCGGCGGCCAGCAGGAUUAGCACGGCCGUCGCCAUUGGACUCUGUCUCUGUCUGCUGCAAGUGAGCCUCUCCAGUUUAAUGGCGACUUUGCGGGGGAGCGUGGAAAGCGUGGGAUGGUAGUUUACUCGACCUUCGUGUGGCGUAUACUGCGGCAUCGUCAUCGUUCAAUAAUAAAACUCAUCCCCUUCCUUGUGUUUCCAGCUUCAGCCGCGCCUACGCUGCUCAGCCUCCUCUACCAUGGCGUCUCUCCUCUUCCUCCCGCACACCACCCCCGCGCCCACCCUGCGCGCCAAGCUCCUGCCCGGUCCUCGAACCAUCAUCACCUGCGGCCCGCGCGACAACCGCGGCCCGCUCCAGCGGGGCCGUUCCCUCUCCACGGAGGCCAUCCACGCCGUGCAGGCCCUCAAGCGCCUCACCGCCGCCGACCGCUCCCCUCCCGCCGCCACGGCCGCGGCCUCCGCCGCCCUCGGCCGCCUCCUCCGCGCCGACCUCCUCGCCGCCAUGGCCGAGCUCCAGCGCCAGGGCCACUGGUCCCUCGCCCUCGCCGCGCUCCACGUCGCCCGCGCCGAGCCCUGGUACCGCCCCGACCCGGAGCUCUACGCCACCUUCGUCUCCUCCUCGCCCUCCAACGACCCCGCCGCCGCAGCUGCCGUGGACGCGCUCGUCGAGGCCUUCAUCGAGGAGAAGGAGCGGGGCGCCGCCGGCGGGUCCUCGGAGGGGGUGUGGGUCGGGGAGGACGUGUACAAGCUGACGCGGCUGGUGCGCGCGCUGGUGGCCAAGGGCAGGGCGCGCGCCGCCUGGAGGGUGUACGAGGCGGCGGUCAGGAAGGGAGGCUGCGAGGUGGACGAGUACAUGUACAGGGUGAUGGCCAAAGGGAUGAAGCGGCUGGGGCUUGACGAGGAAGCGGCGGAGGUGGAGGCGGACUUGGCCGACUGGGAGGCCAGGCACCUGCCCGACGAAAUGCGCCCGAGGGAGAAGAGCAAGACGGCUGUGACUGGCUCUGUUGUUUAGUUCAGUAAAUCGAGAGACCUAGUAAUGAUGAUUUUGCAUGCCUUUCAUAGUUAAAGACUGAUGAACAACAAUUUCUCCUCUUUCGACCUCCGUCUACGGUUUGCAGAUCGCGCAAGAAUGGACGUUACUACUUCACUUGUUUUGAAAUCUGACUGUUCCAUUGCAAACUGCAAUGUUUUUCAGGUUUAUCGUCAGUCACAGACUCACAGCUAGUGUGGCGUUGAGCUCGGAGCUGAAGGUGGAACUGUUAAAUUCUGUGACUAUCAUGUAAACUUUACAAAUAAGAAACAACCACAACGCUGAAUACAUCAUGGCCAAAACUAAAUCAGGAGGAGUCAGUCAAGUGAUAGACGCUACGUAAAUUAAGGCCAUCGCCCAUAUGCUUUUGCUUGCCUAGCAGAGAAGGAGCGAGUCGACGAACAAGUCGUCCCUGGGCUCGUCCUUGGUGUUGGUGAGCAUCUCCAGAGUGUAGGGGCCCUGUUGUCCGUGUCCGGCGGCAGCAGCAGAGGAAGAGGACGUCGUCGGGCGGCCGAGCGGCACGUCGUGGUUGUGCUUGCCCUCGUAGGUGGUGAUGACGGCGCGGUUGUCGUGCGACGCCCGCUCCACGCCGUUUCUUCCACAGAGUUGCAUCUCCGGAAAGUUCAGGAGGUUAAGGUACCCGAAUCUACCAAAUAAUGUUGUUCUCUGCCAAGUUUUCACCACCAAACAAUUGGAUUUUGUUGGUACUUAAAUAUGUGCUCGUUUCCUGCAAUUUCCGUUUAGAAUCCUGCCAUGGAAGUUGCAAACGUGCCCAAACGUAAGAAGAAGCGUGAGCGUGGAGGACAAGAACCUGCUCCGUAUUCGAUGUUACAGGUGUGUAAAAUACAGAUGUGCUGCUUACGUAUUGGAUCCCCUGAAGUGUGGUCCUUACCGUGCGCCUAUAUUUUGCAGAAAAUCAAGGAUUUCCUUUCGGGGCCUCUCCUGAAACUUUUGCUACUGGUAAUUGCUAUAGCUGGAUUGGUUGGGUUGGUGGUGGUGACGGUGAAAUUUAUUUACCAGAUUUCAGAUUGGAUGAACGAAAUGGAGGAGCAGAGGACCAGGCAAAGGAACCUGAGGGCUCCAAGGUUGUAAAAAUAUAUAUUUUGAGACUUUUAUAUAUGGGUUCUUGCGCGCCCAGUAACCAGUUUUGAGAUGUAGAUCAAUAAACGACUCUUUACUGUCGCGGUCCAGUCUCUGGAAGCGUAUAUCUGAAACUGAAAGGAUGCCAUUGUUUGGUUCAUUCGUUUGUAUCAAAGGAAAACGGCGUUGUAUUCUGUUUGAAUUGUGUUUUGAAGUUACCGUAAGGCUCCGAGCCUCCCGUUUCCAUUGCAUUAACGAAACCAGGGUUUUACAGCACUCAAAGAAAAGGAAAAAAAAAAGGUUCUGAGCAUCAGCUCAGCAGUCACUAAACAUUUUUAGCUGCAAAGUUAACAGCACGCCAGAGAGCUGAAGCAAAGUUACGGAGCAGAGUUGAAACGUCCCAGCAUCGCAUGGAGCUUCAGGUGAAUCUGGGCGCUGGGAGCUUCCUUUUGGAGCAGCUCGGGAGAAUAUCCCUGUAUACUAAAAAAUAAUAAUUUAUUUGGCCUAUGCAGGUCUCGAACCUGCGACCUUGGCCUUAUUAGGACCACGCUCUUACCAGCUAAGCUAAUAGGCCACUUUAAUUACAGUAAUUAAAGAAAGUUAUAUAUUUUUUUAAUUAGAAUACUAAAUCCGACAUGUAAUCCGACAGUAAAUCAAGCACAGGAGCAGAGUUAAAUAACUCAAGAAGGAUUCCCAACUGAACGAGCAGGCCACCAAUGCAAUGCAACGGCAGCAAUAGUAUUAUUGAUUGACAAAGAGAAAGGUGGAUUCUCUUCCGGCUGGGCGUACGUAGCAGGGAAUUCAAUCUCACGAAUCAGAUGCCCCACCCAACGCUGGAGAUGAAAAGGAAAAUAAAUGUAUUAAUAACUUACCUUGUUAAUUUGCUGACAUUAUCUUCUGGGACUACUCUCUCUGCCUUUCAUGCCCGCCGUCCAACGAUGCACGGUAGGCGCGAAAAAGGUCCAAAUUCCGUCUUCACUUUCUUUACCCUGAAAUCGUGAUGCUUCAGCUCAGUUCAGUUGUUCUAACAAGGCUUCAAGCCAACUUCUGAAGCUAUAUAUAUAUCUCACGAUCAGCUAGCACUCCAGGAGAAGUCCAGUCGAGAGAAAACCGACCAUGGGGGCCGCGCCGUCUUCGCCAAAAGAGACGUCUUCCGUGUCAUCGUGCACCGGCGAUGGCCGUGCCGUGCCGAUGGCGCACAGUGCUGAUUCCACCUCUGGCACAAACCUGCAGGCCCAGUCCAAGCGAGCGCCGGCUCCUCACAUGUUCCGGGAGAUCGUCGCCAACGAGAAGGCUACUGAUUUAGCUGCAAUGGAAGAUCAGGCCUGCACAGGGAUCUUCUUGGCCGGAAAAACAAAGGUUCAUUAAUUUGCUUCUGAAAACAUGAACUAGCAUGACAUGGAAUCCUGUAUACUCCCUCGGAUCCUAAAUUUUUGUCCAAAUAUGGAUGUAUAUACUCUUAAAAGGCGUCUAGAUACAUGUAAUAUUUCAACAACAAUUUAGGAUCGCAGGGAGUAAUAUAUAAGCUUUGGCUUUUGAUUUUGAACAUGGUUAUGCUUCAAACUUUCAAUGAAUGCAGAAGUACUGGGUGGAUGAGAGGACCAGGCACAACUGCUUCAUGCUGCUCCCAAGAGGCCUAGCCGUCACUUGGAGUGAAGACCCCAGAUACUGGACUUGGCAUGCCCUGAAAGAAGGAAGGUACUGUAAUUCAGAAUCACAACAUGUACAUCUACAUACGUAAAGAUGAUUUUUUUUAGUUGUUCACAGAUCAUGCUCUCAGGAAUUAGACUUAAUUACCAUGCUGUUUCUGAACCUGACAUGUUUAACAAAUCAGCGACGGCGAAGCUGAAAAAAUCGAGGCAGUGAUGCUGCAGAACGUCUGCUGGUUGGAGGUUCAUGGGAAGCUGGAGCUGUCCCAUCUUACACCGGGAGUCACCUAUGAGGUUGUCUUCGAAGUGAUGCUCAAAGAUCCAGCCUAUGGAUGGUCUGUGCCGGUGAACCUCCAGCUCAAACUCCCCGACGGAACGGUCCAGCAGCGCAAAGAGAAUCUGCUGGAGAAGCCCAGGGAGAAGUGGCUGCAGCUCAAGGUUGGGGAGGUUAAACCACAGAUGGGGCAGAAUGGAGAGGUUGGGAUCUCUAUGUUUGAGUAUGAUGGUGGGGAGUGGAAGAGGGGGCUCCUCAUCAAGGGCAUCAAGAUCAUCCCAAAAAAAUGAUCUGGUUGGUGUUUUAUUAUCGAUGAUCGAUAGCUUUUUGUUUGUCAAAUGCGCUAAGAUCAGCGUGAUGCAUGGGAAUAAUAUUUGUGCUGUUACAAAAUCCAAGACUUCCGAAAGAAUGUUUAUCUUCCCAAAAUUCUUGCACUAGAAAGAAUAUGAGAGUACCUGGUUAUUCUGAACCUCCGAGUAGUACUUCUUUUCUGUAACAUAUGCCACGCUUAAAACAUCUUUUAUUUUUCAAAGACGGAACUAAAUGCACGUUGUUUUGUAUGAGAAGAAGAAUGCCCACAAAGCACAAAAGCAUACAAUUCACCAAGGUUAACAUAUUCCAAGCUUAACAUGUUGCUUAACAUCUUUGAUAAUUAUGUCAGCAAGAGGGUCAGGGAGACCCCAAGCCUGCAACUUGAUCUAGAAUGGUACUGUUGUCUCUUCUACAGAUAAUAGUGAACAUGGUAGCAUGGUAUUGUGUCAAAUAAGUACGUACGUGAAUAUUCCAAAUUACAUUACAUUAACAUUCCAGUGCUCAGUAUACAUGAAAACUGAAAACAAAACUCUCAUCAGACAACUUUGAUGGGAAUUAUGUUCCAAUUUCUAAAGUUACUGCACUGAAAUAAUUAAUAAUGCCAAGUAGCCAACAUCAAUCGAACAGAGCAUAUCUCCUCAACUGAAACGUGUGAGCCAGGCUUGAAAUUGUACAACAAGAUGGCUUCAUAGCGUGACCUUCCAUUUUAAGCGAAAGAAAUAUCUAAAACGACUGAAUGCUAUCUACAGGCCGAGGCAUGGGCUUAUCUUGCAAAAAAUGCUCAAAAAGCUUCAAGGCCUGUUGUGGACGAUGGAGGGGAACCUCGUGUCCUGCUCCUCGGAUUGUCACCAACGUCAAACCUUUGUACACUUGGCACCAACCAGCAACCUAAGCAAGAUCCACACCAUUAGAAUGAUGAGUAUAGCUGUAGCAAGUGAAAAAGGGAAUAAAACUGCCAGUGUUUCUUUAGCACAGGUUGCUGACUAACCUCCUCCUCCUCAUACCAGGGAUACCAGUUAGUGACAGUCGGAAGAUAGAGCGCAUCAAUGGAGUAUCUUGUAGCAGUGAGGGGUACCACGGAAUCAGCAUCACCACUGUCAAAUUUCCGAAUUUAAAUGAUUAAAUCCUCAGAAGGACAGAAUGGCUGUGCUAUGGUACCAUACAGAGAGUGAUGAUCAUAGAUCAGCAUUGGCACCACUGUCAAAUAUUUAUGUUCCAGUGUGAAUCAUGUUUUCAACAUAAAUUUGGUGUACCUGAAGACCCAUAUUCUUAUGCCAGCAGCAAUAAGUUCAUGGUAUAUAGGAAGCAUAGACCUCGGUGAAUCUUUCCAAUGCUCAAACAAGUCAUCACUGCGAAUUUUUGGCAUAAGUUUAGCGCAAACUAUCACUAACAAGCAAGCUUUACUGUCAGUUAUGAUGAAUGAGUAGUUGUGAGUAAAACAAGAUGAAACCAGUUGAACAAACCUGCAGGGGUUCCAGGCAUACGGCAUUCCAGUGACAUUGGCAUGAAAAGCUUUCUGCACUUCUGGUAGAUUAUAGUACUUUGUGGAGUACUUUUCAGUGCAAGGAUCAUAUCCUCUUGGCAACCAGGGCUAUAUUUGAACAAAAAAAUAUGUGUCUAAACAACGGUACUUUAAACAUGUGCACAAUACAUAAUACCGAUAUACCAUGCUGGUACAGUAGUGUACUAGCUUAGCUAUGAACAAAUUAUAGUUCUAGUAGUGGAUUAGCUCACCCUGCGGCCCUUUAUUAGCCUCCGCUUACGCAAUGAGGCCUUCUUACAGGUUGGUGUAUAGAUACUGUAUGCAUCAAUCAGGCCUUCCUCGGCUUCAGCUACAUCAUAGAUCUGGUUGCAUGCCUUGGAAGCAUGCGCAGAUGAAUCAAACUCACAGGCCAACUGCAGCUUCUGAUAGGUAUCAUCAGAGAUCAGCCCAUGCGUCCACCAGUACUCGAAAGUUCCAACGUAAUCAUGGUAAUCAUCAAUAACGGCAUUUCCGACCUAGAACAGCGAUUGAUUAUUUGAUCAUAUGUAACAAGAAAAAUGUCCAGACCAAUUAAGGGAGAAUCAAAAGAAGAGCUGAUUAGUUUCUGACCAUGAAGCCUUUGAAGUUGAGGAUGGGCUUCUUGAUACCUUUGUUGUUUCUGAACACUAGCUGAGACAACUGAGGAACAUAGUGCCCUGAAAAGCAGCCAUUGCAGCAACAGUGAACAAACUAGGUGACACAUGAAUCAUAUACAUGUGAUUGCUGGAUAAUGUUGAACGCAGAGCCAACAUGCUAGAAUUAACCAAUUCGAUCUGAUGGCAAUUCACCUCCAUAGCUCUCCCCGGAGAUGUAGAAAUCGCGAUGCUUGUACUGCGGAAACCUCUCCAGCCAAUUCACCAAGAAAGUGUACGAAUCGUGAGCUGCAAGAUAUCAUUGGUAUUCAGCAGAAGACAUCCUCAUGCGAGCAAAGAACAGUACUAGCACUUGAAUAGAUAAGUAAUCCUGAAAAAUUGACCUGUCUUGUUGUCGCCGGGUGUGAAGAGAUCGGAGGUGGUGUUGGAGUAGGAGUACCCUACGCCUGCGGGGGAGUCCAAGAAGAGCAUGUUGGCCACUGCAAGGAACGAGCCGAUCCAAUUCCAUCCCAGUGUCAGUUGUCAAGGAAGCUAACACAAUUCUCGGUCAAAAGAAGAAGAGAGCGAGGGAGAAAAAAAAUCGACUCUUGUUCCAGGAGUAGGGGUUGGGGACGAGCGUGGUGCCGUCGGGGCUGAUCCGGAAGGCGCCGAGCUCCUCGGAUGCGCCGUAGCCGACGGAGGAGCAGCCGGGCCCGCCGUUGAGCCAGAGCACGAGCGGGGCCGAGUCCGGCGCGGCGGUGGAGGAGGCCUCGAUGAGCCAGUAGAAGAGCGCCCGCCCCGCGGCGGCGUCCACGGUGACGUAGCCCGAGUACAUGGAGAAGUUGACCGGCGGCUGGCCCGGCAGCCGCGUGAUGCGGUCGGCCGCCGCCGCAGAGGUGGUAGUAGCCGAGGCGGGCGCGCAGCUGGAGAGAGACGGCGCCAGGAUGGCGGCGGCCAGCAGGAUUAGCACGGCCGUCGCCAUUGGACUCUGUCUCUGUCUGCUGCAAGUGAGCCUCUCCAGUUUAAUGGCGACUUUGCGGGGGAGCGUGGAAAGCGUGGGAUGGUAGUUUACUCGACCUUCGUGUGGCGUAUACUGCGGCAUCGUCAUCGUUCAAUAAUAAAACUCAUCCCCUUCCUUGUGUUUCCAGCUUCAGCCGCGCCUACGCUGCUCAGCCUCCUCUACCAUGGCGUCUCUCCUCUUCCUCCCGCACACCACCCCCGCGCCCACCCUGCGCGCCAAGCUCCUGCCCGGUCCUCGAACCAUCAUCACCUGCGGCCCGCGCGACAACCGCGGCCCGCUCCAGCGGGGCCGUUCCCUCUCCACGGAGGCCAUCCACGCCGUGCAGGCCCUCAAGCGCCUCACCGCCGCCGACCGCUCCCCUCCCGCCGCCACGGCCGCGGCCUCCGCCGCCCUCGGCCGCCUCCUCCGCGCCGACCUCCUCGCCGCCAUGGCCGAGCUCCAGCGCCAGGGCCACUGGUCCCUCGCCCUCGCCGCGCUCCACGUCGCCCGCGCCGAGCCCUGGUACCGCCCCGACCCGGAGCUCUACGCCACCUUCGUCUCCUCCUCGCCCUCCAACGACCCCGCCGCCGCAGCUGCCGUGGACGCGCUCGUCGAGGCCUUCAUCGAGGAGAAGGAGCGGGGCGCCGCCGGCGGGUCCUCGGAGGGGGUGUGGGUCGGGGAGGACGUGUACAAGCUGACGCGGCUGGUGCGCGCGCUGGUGGCCAAGGGCAGGGCGCGCGCCGCCUGGAGGGUGUACGAGGCGGCGGUCAGGAAGGGAGGCUGCGAGGUGGACGAGUACAUGUACAGGGUGAUGGCCAAAGGGAUGAAGCGGCUGGGGCUUGACGAGGAAGCGGCGGAGGUGGAGGCGGACUUGGCCGACUGGGAGGCCAGGCACCUGCCCGACGAAAUGCGCCCGAGGGAGAAGAGCAAGACGGCUGUGACUGGCUCUGUUGUUUAGUUCAGUAAAUCGAGAGACCUAGUAAUGAUGAUUUUGCAUGCCUUUCAUAGUUAAAGACUGAUGAACAACAAUUUCUCCUCUUUCGACCUCCGUCUACGGUUUGCAGAUCGCGCAAGAAUGGACGUUACUACUUCACUUGUUUUGAAAUCUGACUGUUCCAUUGCAAACUGCAAUGUUUUUCAGGUUUAUCGUCAGUCACAGACUCACAGCUAGUGUGGCGUUGAGCUCGGAGCUGAAGGUGGAACUGUUAAAUUCUGUGACUAUCAUGUAAACUUUACAAAUAAGAAACAACCACAACGCUGAAUACAUCAUGGCCAAAACUAAAUCAGGAGGAGUCAGUCAAGUGAUAGACGCUACGUAAAUUAAGGCCAUCGCCCAUAUGCUUUUGCUUGCCUAGCAGAGAAGGAGCGAGUCGACGAACAAGUCGUCCCUGGGCUCGUCCUUGGUGUUGGUGAGCAUCUCCAGAGUGUAGGGGCCCUGUUGUCCGUGUCCGGCGGCAGCAGCAGAGGAAGAGGACGUCGUCGGGCGGCCGAGCGGCACGUCGUGGUUGUGCUUGCCCUCGUAGGUGGUGAUGACGGCGCGGUUGUCGUGCGACGCCCGCUCCACAUGCUUUCGCACCGGGCAGGCCACCGUGGUGCACUUGUAGUAGCUCCUUGGAUUGGGAUUGCCCUUGACGACCUUCUGGCCGUACUUUCUCCACCGGAAGCCGUCGUCCAGUAUGUCGAUAUCGCUCAGCGUCUGUACCACUAGCCUUGGCUCGCGCACCGGCUUGCCGCCGGAGCUGCCCUCGUUGUCGGCAUCCUCCUUCCUGAAAGCAAUUAUCCACUCUCCAAUUAGUCCAACAACACGAUGAUGAAUUAAUCGUACGUCGAUGAUGAAUCACACUACUUACCAGCGCUUGGCUUGGGGCUCGGCGCCCUGCGACGACCCGUUGUCGGCUUCAUCGUCUCCGAACGUGACAGAAGAGUUCUCGGGGGUGACGCCAGAGUGCUCCUGAUCGGCGACGGGUGGAGAGGUGUUAUGGCGGCGGGUGGAGAGGGGCUUGGGGUGGUGGUGCGCGCCCUUGUAGACGAUCUGCGUGAUGCGUCCGUCGGCGAGGGACCGCUCGACCUUCUUUUUCAUGGAGCAGUUGCUGUAGGUACACUUGUAGUAGCUCCUCGGGUUCUCGCUCCCCUUCACCUGCUUCUGCCCGUACUUUCUCCACUUGUACCCGUCCUCCAGCUGCUUGUUGCUCUUGUUGUUGCUCACUUGUGCCACCUGCUGCUCCUGCACAAGCAUACACAUGCUGUGAGUUACUACUGUCUAGUGUUUAUCAAGUGUGUACAUACAUACAUACAUACCUUGAUGGAAGGGAAAGAAUUUGUUUGAGGCGAUGAAUCUGUGUGUUUGUUGACGGCUUGGAAGGAGAAGUCACCGCUGCCUCGGCUGUCCUGAUCUUGCUGAGAGGCCUUCCAGUGCGCCGGGAUCGCACCGGUUGUGGGGGACGCCAAAAUCUGAUGAGCAAGGAAUAACCGAAAUCAGCUAACAACAAUUGCAGAGCAGCAAGAGGAGAAUAGAAGGGAGGGAAGACUGACUGACAUUGGAGUAGUUGAGGAGGACGGGGGAGUCGAGCAGGUCGGCGGGGCUGAGGCCCGGAGGUAUGGAGAAGUAAGAGAAGGACGAGGGCGAGAUGGGCAGGCUGGGCGGCUGCGAGGACUUGAACUUGGGCAUCGGCGUCGAGCCGGAGAGCAGGUCAGUGAAGGAGGUGGUGAAGGUGAACCCGGCGGCGUGGUCCAAGCUCCCUGUGGAAGAUGCCAUGGCGAAAAGGAUAUCUGGCUGAUCGAAAGAGGUGUGGAGAGAGGGAGGACAGGAGUGGUUGCUCGGUGGCGCCUUCUUAAGUAGCUGCUGCUUGUAGUGGCUCUAGUGCUGCUGGGCGCCAACCAACAAGCGUGAUCGUUAAGUAUUGAAAGUAAGUUUAUCGUCAGCGGUGACGUGGUGGACAGAAAGGUGUCCGUGGAAUUAGACCAAAUGUGAAGGUGGUGGUAUUGGGGUGCUUCCGCGAAAGGGGACUGGGGUUUUGGGGUCAAAGCUCGUGCGGGCGGCUGAAAGGAGUUUCCGGGAGGUCCCAUCGGAUAAGGUAACGGCAAUUGCUACAGACGACGAGCAGUAGCAGGAUGGAUGGAGAUACUCACGUCGGAGCCGAUGGUGAUGGCAGUGGCCGGCGGGGAUCUGGUUGGUGUUAAUGGCGUCUCGAGUACAUGUAAGCAAGCAAACUGACGCGGCCUGGAGGGUGGAGGGUGACUGCCUCUGUCUAGCUGCGCUUGGUCAGUACAAUUUCCUGCUCUGCUCCCCUGUACCGUCAACUCUCGAUCGGCAGCCAGUCCGUGAUGUUGCACCGCAGACCAAGCUCACAGACUUCUUUCGUUCUUGAACGUGGAGUCGUUGUGGUGUCCCCGUACUAACAUUUGAUUGUUACGACCGCUCAUCAUGCCGCUAAUUCCUUGCUUACAAACAAACACACACCUAAUCUGGCGCAUACUUGGUCUUAAGACCGUGCACCGACAUUCUCUUUCCCUUGCUCUGCUGUGAAAGGGUUGACAUCACAUCCUGCUGCUGCUUAUUCACACCACAUCCUGAAAGUCAAAUCCAGUCGUGCUAGCGACAACCCUCUGUUAAGUCAACUGGCACCAGCAAGCACCGCAUUUCUCCGCUCCAUGUAUUAAAACUGAGAUCGGAGUCUCCUCCGUUCAGACAGAUUCAGUUCAAUCAGGACGGGACCUCCAACUUCUCAUCCUUGCUUCUUCUAUCUGAACAAGUUCAGGAGAGCAGCACAGCAGGGAGGAACUCAGGAACCAAGUAGCAAUUCAAUUGACGAGGAUGGAUUCGGCGGAGAGAUCCAAGAAGAGAAUGCAGCUAUGGCGGAAGGGCAAAGCCGCCGUCGUCCAGCUCGCCAUCUGCUUCGCCAUCGGCGCCCUCGCGCCACUUGCCGGCACCAGCAGCCAGUCGGUAGCCAUUCUCCGCGCUUCAUUUCUUCCAUCUCUCAAUGUUCAGCACGCGCCUGCCGUCCCUGACCUGGGCCUCCUGCUGAUCGUCACCGUCACGCGUCCAGACAACGACGGUGACGGCAUGUCGCAGGAGGCGGCGCUGACGAGGCUGGGCCACACGCUGCGGCACGUCGAGCCGCCAAUGAUAUGGAUCGUGGUCGGAGCCAAGAACAGGUCGGCAAGCGCCGUCCAGGUGCUGCGUGGCACUGGCGUCACCUUCCGGCAUCUCACCUAUGCCAUCGAGAACGCCACCGGUGCCGGCGAUGAUGAGGGCCGACAGAGGAACGUGGCCCUGAGCCACAUCGAGCGGCACCGGCUGAACGGCGUCAUCCACUUCGCCAGGGCUUCCGGCGUGUACGAUCUCCGCUUCUUUCAGCAGCUCAGGCAGACUCGGUGCGUUCCUUCUCCCCUUCUCCUGCAGCUUUGCUACACUUCUCAUCCGCAAUCAAAAUAACAUCUCGUGUCCAAUCAAUCCUUGAUCCAGAGGCAUUGCAGCAUGGCCAACAGCAGCCGUGUCAUCAGCAGACCAGAGAGUGACAAUGCAAGGACCAACCUGUGACUCAUCACGGAUCACAGGCUGGUACUCAAAAGACUCGAGCUCCAACGACACACAGGCACCACCACCUGUGUCUGCACAAGAUGCAAGUGCAGUCCACAACAGCUCUGGUAUAUCUCCUGAAAUACACUUCUCUGGGCUUGGGUUCAGGAGCUCAAUACUCUGGGAAUCGGAAAGGCUCAUCAACAAGAACAACUCAUCAGGAGAGCAAACUCAGGUUUGUCAAUUGAGCCAAGCCCCAGUGGUCUCUAGUAGUAAUCUGAUAACUUGCCUGAUCAUGGUUUUUUAUCUCAGGAUUUCAUCCAGUUUGUACGACAAAUGGCAGUCGGUGAUGGAGAAACACAGAAGGGCAUCCCUUCCCAUUGCUCCGAAUCUCAGAUAAUGCUUUGGCACCUUGAUAUGCCAAGGUACACUCCACAAGUUGAAGAACAGGACACUCAAAAGACGCGAAGUCCAGUGGAGAAAGACGAAGAUGACUAUAUGACAUGAUUAUUGCAAGCUAGAAGAACCAUGUGGCUGUAUAGCUAUCACAAUAGAAUAGACAGAUGGACAAAUAUCAUGUGCAACUCAACACAGGGCAACUUCAUGUAUAUAGGUUAUUCCAGAACCAGCAUAACCGGGUCUUCAAGUGUCAAAUAGUAAAAGGACCAGCUGUGCCGAAGAUGGUCCAAUGUUCGUUGUCCAGAGAUUGUAGUAACCCAUCAAUGUUUUUGUCUGCCUUCCAACUGCUGAGUCCGGAAGUACAAAACAUUAUCUUCAUUGGAAGAGCACAUUUUGCUUUAUACAAUCAAAAGGCUGAACCACCUCCUUUUGUUUUCCCAAGCAAAACAUCUUUUGCCUCGUUGAUCUUCGAAGCAAGGUAAUGGCUUCCCCCCGCAUCCGGAUGAUUGGCAACCAUGACCCUCUUAUGUGCCUCUUUUAUUUUAUCAGGAUGGACGUUUUCUCUGAUGAAUCAAAAGAAAACAGGGUAACUUAACAAUGGCAGGACAUAAAGCAUGUCUUAAAUUGUAAAUUUAUCAAUUAAAUCACAAAUAAACGGCAUGUAUUUAAAUGCCAGAAUGAACAACCUGGUAUGUCAAGAUGCACUCAAAUUUAGAUGCACAAAUCCAAAAAUAGAUUCUUCUAAAUGUUGUAAUAAUAAGUACAUAUGCACCAGGCAGAAAGAAGGAAAAAAAUGUGUCAAGAUUGGACAACUCUUUUUUGUCAGGUUGAGUUCAAGAUAGGCUAUAUCAUUCCAAGGAAGAGCUUAUUUUGCCAGGGGGAAAAAUUAUUUGCGGCUGCAUUUAACUGACCUUGCCAGUAAAAUCACAAACAGAAACACAAUAUAUAUAAGAUGGAGAUGGCACACGUGAUUCCAGCAUAAGAUGGAAGUUCUAUCCUUUAUAUAAGCAUCUAGCUCCAAGCCUCGUUUGGAUGGGUUCAGAAUGGGUGGAUCCUAGCCCAAUCCUCGCAGAGGAGAAGUUCCCUUUGCCUUAUUUGCAAGGUGUUCAGUUGAAAACUAUUAACUUGAAACCUACACUAUGUGUAGUAUAUUUACUUUGUAAAGUGCACCUAUCAAUCUGCAUUUGAGUAUGCUAGUGGUUAGCGUGGACAGAGUAUGGACUACAAGACUACAUUUUAUUAUGCACUGGAAAUAUUACCACAUGAUAUUCCAUAAUGUGAAAUGUACGUUGUACGUACUUCCAGGAAAGAAAGGAAGUUGGGACAACUAACUGCCAACUAUUAUGAUCAGCUAUCUGAGCAGACUUCCAGAAAGCAUAAUUGUUGCAGGGAACAGGAAGGGAAGCUAAUGAUGACUGAUCUAUUGUUGUGCUACGCAAAUUCUUUUGUUCAACCAUUGAAAUCCAUAAACCCAAGUAGUGUGCUUGUGCUGUGCAGAACUCAACAAUUUCAGUGGCAUAGAUGGAGCUAGACUGCUAGAGAUGAAUAAAUGUAUGCCAAAAGAAGCAUAAAGAAUAUAUUGUUGUGCUAUCAGAAUUAUGUUUUUAUAUAGCAUGCACCUGACACCAAGGAUGAGGCCAGCUUCCCUCCGGGUCAUUGUAGCUUGAAAGCCACCUUCAUAGAAUUUACGCAUUCUUGGAACUAUAGGCCUUGCCUUGUAAGCUUGCCAAGCCUGGAUGCUAUAUCUGCCAGCUAGAGCAGCUGCUGCGACCGCGAGCCCAGCUAUGAGUGGCGUGGCCUGCAGAGAUAUUGAAUAAAAGUAAACAAGAAGCAGCGAAUGGAGACAACAGGAAAUUAAAAGUCCAAACACCAUUUCGUCCCAAAAUCAUCACACAGGCUCAGGUGGCAAACCUCUUGUGAAUAGAAAAUUGUGAUUUAUACUAACCUGAUGCCAUUGUGGCAAUCUAUUGAAAGCUAGUUGCCGUCUUACAGCGGGCAGAAACUACCAAUCUACAGUACCGUUCAGACGAAAUGACCAAAUAAACAGGUAAGGAUAAAGUUAACUGCCGUGAAAUGCAGAACAAUUUAUCUAAUCGUUCCUAGUUUUAGCCUGACAACCAAAAAAAGGGUCCCCGUGAGCCCUAGGCACAGUAGCAUCGAUAUGCUGUGAAAAUACUAAGGAAUUUAACUGCAGCCUAUUACCUAUGGGUCAAAAUUUCUCAUCGCUUUUAGAAAAUAAUCCAUCCAAUCUGAUCAGGAACAUGCGCACAACCAUAAAACCUAUCCAGGAAAUGCUUGAGGUUGGCGUGUUUCAGUGGAGCUCACCAUCUCCACGGCCAGUAAAUCCGGCGACUGGUUGCAGGCGGGAGCGCGACCAGUGAGUGGACGGGGCUAGGGCAGCAGAGAUCGCCGGAGAGGAGGCCGGCGUCGGCGGCGCAGUACCGUGGUGGAGGCUCUGGAAGCUUCGCGGCGGAAAUGGGUCAUGGAAUCCUACUUGGGCUGGGCCUUGCUGACGCCUGCGAAUGGAACCGAGAAGGGAAAUGGUUGGGGCCCAGUUGUCACUGACAAAGCGAUCAAAAUACGCCUUUCUGAACAAAACGGGUUCCAGAAGGAACGUGUCUCUCUGUCUUACCACUUACCAGCGAAGGAAGCCACGCCAUCGUCGUCGUCCUCCACGCGCUUCCUCCGCCCUAUUUUACCCGCUCCAGCUCCGCCCCUCCGCCAAAAGUCUCCUCCUCCACGAUCCCCUCCCUCUGCCUCGCCCUCGCUCGCGUUAGCCAGAAGAAGCAGCAUUCCUCGCCUCUCUCUCGCCAUGGGCGCGACCCAAGUCGACCACGAGGAGGCCAGCCCCCUCCUGGCCCCGUCCGCCGACGAAAAGCUGCCGACGGAGGCCACCAAGGGCUGCGCCGACGGGGUCCCGGUCGUCAUGGGAGAGCCGGUCUCCGGCCCCGCCGUGCCGCGGGAGAGCUGGGACUCGGGGAUCCUCUCCUGCCUCGGCCGCAACGACGACUUCUGCAGCAGCGACCUCGAAGUGUGUACGUGCCCCCCUCGUUUGCCCCCCAGAUCUCUCGGUUUAGGGUUUGGCUUCGUGGUUGGGCAGAGGAACACGUGCUUGCUCUGCUUCUGUCCAGCUCGAUUUUGGCGGAUUGCUUAGGAUUUUCACUGACUUUAGCUAAGAGAUCCCUGGGGGCUGGUUGGGGUGUCCAAGACUGUUAUCUGAUUGUCAUAACAUCUGUUAUCUGUCCAGUUCGCUUCUUGUUUUGUAAUUCUUAAUAGGAGUUAGUAGGAUGGUAGGGCAGGGCAACAUUAAUAUAAGAAUUGACUUGCUCAGAACUAAUAUCUGUUGCCAAAUGCUUUACUUAUCGAUGCCGAGUUUAGGAUCGUGACUCCUGGAGGCCUUGAAAGUACGAAUUUGCACACAUAUUUCAUGAUAAGCCCUCAGUGACAUUUGUAGGUUGCAAAUUGCUUCUUGGGAGGCACCCUUAGCACUAAGUUAUGUGCAUCACUUGAAGAUUAAGCUACAUUUCCCUCACUGUAAUGAACUCUGUGUAAUGUUUUCACAACUUGCAAAUUACUGUAGGCUGCCUCUGAUUUGGUAUUCUUUAAAUGGCAGUAGAAAGGUUUUAUACAAGGUACAUUGUUUUACUUUCAGUUUUAAUUAUGGUUCUUUCCAUUAUCAGCCAGCACUGUUCUAGUGUGGUAUGCUAAUUUUUCUAUCUAAUACAUGCGUAUGGACCCUUCUGUCUAGGCCCUAGGGUCCAUUUUCCUUCAAACAAGUUACUGGUAGUCUGCAAGAGCUGAAUUGUCUCUUCCAAAAAUGACAAUGCUGUCCUGACUAACCAAAUGCCAACUAACUUGUGGUUGUUCGUUGUAAUACGAACUAAUACAUGCAUCUGGACCCUUCUGUCUAGGCCCUAAGGUCCAUUUUCCUUCAAACAAGUUACUGGUAGUCUGGCAGAGCUGAAUUGUCUCUUCAAAAAAUGACAAUGCUGUCCUAACUAACCAAAUGCCAACUAACUUGUGGUUGUUCAUUGUAAUGCGAAAUAUUUACCGUAGCAAUCCUUUUGAUUGCUUUUUGUUAAUUUGGAAAUUAACAAAUAACUAACUGAAUGGUGUUUGGAUAUUUUCAGGUCUUCUCGGAAGUGUGGCACCAUGUGUGCUGUAUGGUAGCAAUGUUGAGAGGCUUGCAGCAGCACCGGGAACUUUUGCAAACAGCUGCUUGCCUUACACUGGCCUCUAUAUGCUUGGAAACUCUCUCUUUGGGUGGAACUGCCUAGCCCCAUGGUUUUCUCAUCCCACUCGUACAGCUAUUCGUCGAAGAUACAAUCUCGAGGCAAGUUUUCUCAAUCUGCUCAUUUUUAUGGUUCCAAAAGAUCUUCUCAGUUUGCAGUGAGAAGAUAUAUCUAUUUUUAGUUGUCACUCACUAUGAAGCAGGAUGCUGGGCCAAGGCUUACAUACUUAUCUCGAGUUCUUAGAUUAUUCACACAAAUUUCUUAGAUAGAACUUCUGCCAUAUGUGCUUCAGUCCUAUCCCACUGUGAAGCUGUCGCAAGUGAUGUGCUGACAUGAUUACGCUGCAUGUUUUGUCUUCCAGGGUAGCUUCGAGGCUUUCACUAGGCAAUGUGGGUGCUGCCGUGGCCUCGCUGAGGACGAGGAGAGGCGUGAACACCUGGAGGUCGUCUGCGACCUAGCAACACACUACAUGUGUCACCCUUGUGCCCUCUGCCAGGAGGGGCGCGAGCUGCGCCGCAGGGUCCCCCACCCUGGCUUCAACAACGGGCGCUCCGUCUUGGUUAUGAUGCCACCCAUGGAGCAGAACAUGGCUCGUGGCAUGUGAGCUGUUCCAGCUCCUUCCCUGCCCUGGCUGGUCUUCUGCCCUUGAUGUUCUGCUUCCUCAGAUCUUCACCUCGUCGUCAGUAUAUACAAAUAUGUGAUGUGAACAUGCCCUGCCGUGCAAUGCAACUCCCGCUUGUUAUCUUCUGGGAGUUCUUGUUGAACAUUCCAAAUGUGUGUACUCGUUGCCUACUGCUGUGUCUUGUAUGGAUUCUGAACUGCAAUAUAUCACUUGUCUGCUUGUUGUGUAUAUAGAUUAUCUCUGAAUUGCAAAUGUCAGAGUGUUAUUUUCAGUGAUAUCCUGGACCUUAUUAUUGUGUUUUACCACUACAUGUUUGCUGAUCUACGAUUCCGACUUCCGAGAGCUAGUUCGGAUGCCACAAUUUGCAAUUCAAUUCUACCAAUAACGAAGAUGAAAACCAGUUGGAGAAGAAGCCAGUACAGACGUACAGCAAUUUAAAUUCAUAUUUUGGCGAAAUUCGACAACGCUGGGCCACGAAACAGAGUUGGGCCCAAUGUUGUGGCCCGUGGGCAAUAAGCCGGCCCGCACUAGCAGCAAGAUAAAUAUAAGAGCAUCCCUCGCCAGAGCAUCCCUCGCCAGUAUAUUUGAAAUGCUUAUAAUUGAAAUAAAAACAUUUCAUUCUAUUCGUAUUAAAUUAUUUAAGUAAAUUGGAGUAUAAUAUUAUAUUUAAAUCUUCCAGCUGAUUUGAAAUCAAACAUUGUAAUUCAUACAUCAUAUAGAAACUCGAGAUAAGGACCUAGCGAUCAUAUUUUUUAUCCAUACACGAUAAGAAAAAACCAUUGCCUCCCUCUACUCUCCCAGUCUCACUCUACCUCUACUUCUCAACUCCCAAGAAAACAACUCCCGAUUCUCCCCCCCCCCCUCCAUUCUCCAACAAAUAGAACCGCCACCCCCCGCGCCUCUCCCCAGCUCCGCCGUCCCCUGCACCUCUCCCAAGCGCCUUCCCCAGCUCCGCCGCCCCCCUGCGCCCCUCCCCAAUGCCCUGCCCAGCGCAGCCGUCUCCUCCCCUGCCUAGAGCCGCACCCUGCGUCCCUGCCCAGCACCAACACCUGCGCCGCCGCCGUCUACUCCCUGCCAAGCGCUGCCCUAUAUUCUGCCCAUCCCUUUCUCCAUCCCCGACGACCCCUCCCUCUCUCCAUCCCUGACGACGUCCAAGAUCCGGGUGCGCUGCAUCUCCCGCUCCCCUUUCGUCCAAGGGCCGCGGCGCAGAGGGAGGCGGGGAGAUGACGGAGGGAGGCACGUUCGCGUGGAGAGUACCUUCGGGAGAAGAUUUCGGCGGAACGAAACCUUCCGAUCGGGUGGUUGAUGGAUGGGGAUUCUCCAUCGUGCUCCUCACUUUGGGGGAUCCCGAAGGCAAUAUAGCGAACGACUAGAUUCAGGAAAUGAGAUGGGCAAGCUGUUGGACCUCUUAUUUUGAUCAAAUUCCUCAAAUUUAACUAUGGGGAUUGGAUACGGAAGCUCCUGGAGAUGGUCUAACCGAGCAAUCUCGAGCUGGGCCCACUCUACGGUCUUGCUUACUCGGUCUUCUCCCCGUCCCGUCCCGUUUGGUUCCAACCAUCGCCGAGCUCCCGCCGCCGUAAAAGAUGGCCGACGGCAACACCCCGGCCUCGCCGCCUCCCGCUUCUCCGCUCCAGAGGCACCGCUACGCCAUCAAGUCCUCAGGUCCGCUCCCUCCCUCCCCGCCUCACGCCCAGUUCCUCGGCUCCUCUUUGCUCACCUCGCCGUGGCUCCGCCGCCGGUGGCGGAAGUCCCCGAUACUCUCUUAAGUAAACCAGGAAGUAUACUUGCUUGCUGGGGUUAUUAGCGACGAGCGCGAACUAUUUCUCGCCUUCUCCCGUCUCUCUGCCAUGGAAGAUCGAGCUGGUUAGGAAGUUAAAGAGUAAGCGGAUAGUGGCUUAUCUUGCCUAGCAGCAACCUUUGGUUGUGUAGAAUCACUUGAGUUAUUCAUAACUUGCUAAUAGUGAGAAAGUUAGUGUGGGAUUGCCAACAAUUUGACACGUAGUGAAUUGUGACUGAAACCUAGGUUGCCUGAAAUGCAUUUCUGCAAGUUAGAUGACCUAUUUUAUGAGUUGAACUAGUCAUAGGAGUGGAAUGUUAUCUCAGUUCCAUUCGAGUGUCAUUACGUCUGCUGCCUGUAGAAAUUUCCCUCAAGUUUACUAGUGUCUUAACUUUUAAGUUUACACGAGCGCUUAAAUCUUAUUGUGUGUGUUUUGUACCAAACUACCAUGAAGUGCCAUCUGGUGUAAAUCAUAGGGUUAGUUCUUUUCCAUCAUAAACUAAUUGCUGGUGGCAAAAAUAAAAUACUGAACACACUUGUAGGGGAGCUUGCUGCUAGACUGUUGGUUAUUAUAGGCGUUAAUUGGUUGGAAAUCUGGUUGCAGUGCACAAUACCGCAGCUAGCCGGAGGCGGGAACAGGCUAUCGCAAUAGGGAAGGAAAGAAGGGAAGCCUUGAUCCGUGCAAAGCGCGUGUGCCGCACCCCGCUUUCUGGUAGCGAUGAUGCUGGCAUUGAGGAGGAUGAUAUGGUUGUUGAUAAGGAGAAAGAAGGUCUUGAAGCAAGAACUGCUCAAGCUGUUGAAGAAUUGAAAUCAGCUUUGUCAAGCCAGUAUGUGCCUUCCUUGGAAUCUCCUCAUGUGCUAGUACAAGUCCUUCCUUGACACGUUAUUUAGUUGUACCUUGCAUAUUAUAGACCUACCUGUUUUCUUCUUAUGGAAUCCAAACAAACCCACUGCCUAUGACUACCUGAUAGGUUCGUAGUUCUUUUCCUGUAUACCAAUUACCGGAGAUCAAAUUCUUCAUGUAAUGUUUGCUUGUGGUGCAUAUGGAGAAGAAUUUGCAUUAUUUCUUACACGCCCCAUUUUAUUGGACUCGAAAAAUGUAUGCUGCUAUCUUAUGAGUUAUGAUUCACAUGCAUAAACCAAAUUUGACCUUAGUUUGUUGGGUAUUCUAUUUUAUCUUUUAUGUACCUGGCUUAGUGUGAUUACUGUGAUUCCACUCUGAAGAUACACGUCAAUAAGUUGUAAGGUUUGAUUUAAACACUAGUAACUUUUAUUUAUGGAGUAGUGUAUUCUGCAACCAUUUGAUGCUUCAUAGGGGGAAAGGGGCCCAGAAGAAGAAGACAGAGGUGCUUCGUGCUUUGAGACGCUUGCUGUCACAGUCUGAAGUACCUCCAAUUGAAGCAGCAAUUAAAGCUGGAGCAGUUCCUCUUUUGGUACAAUAUCUGUCUUUCGGAUCUUCAGAUGAACAGGUUGAUCAUUUUGCAUUGGAAAAAAGAGAGUCCAGCUUUCUAGUUUACCUGAAAAAUAACUUCCAUGUUAUCUAUUUGCUGUUAUACAGUUAUAUGUGUCCAAUCUUCGCAUUGGAUUUGUUUUUUUACACUCAUUUCAACAGUUUGUCUUAUGGAGAUUGUUGAUGCUUUUAUUGCAGUUGCUAGAGGCCGCUUGGUGCCUUACAAACAUAGCAGCUGGGGAACCAGAAGAAACAAAAUCGUUGCUGCCCGCAUUACCAUUGCUUGUUGCUCACCUUGGUGGUUCGGUUUCUCCCUUGUUGAGGAGUAUAUAAUUUUCUUUUCAUCCCAUUAGGAAUAUAUUAAUCUCUGGUCCUCUGUAAUGCACAUUUAUCAUGAACGUUGGGUAGGUACUAGGUAGACAUUUGAUUGCAGUUCGGUUGGAAAUUGGAGCUUUGAUUACAUUAAAAAAGUUCCCCAUUCUAUUUUGGUAGAAAAGAGCUCCACACUUGUUGCUGAGCAAUGUGCGUGGGCCAUUGGCAAUGUUGCUGGUGAAGGAGCAGAUCUGAGAAGCACAUUACUCGCACAGGGUGCUUUGUGGCCUCUUGCCCGCUUAAUGCUGUCAAGCAAGGGUUCGGCAGCAAGAACUGCUGCAUGGGCAUUGUCAAAUCUCAUCAAGGUUACAUCUCUUACUUUUGACUGUAUGAGUCUCAAGUUUCUUCUGUCAAGUUAAAUAGUUAUGUCUCUCCCAGAGCUUAUCUAGGAAUUAUGAAUCCUUAAGCGUAAGCUUAAAGUGAGUCUAUUUAGGAGCUCCUAGUGCUUAAGCGUAAGAUUGAAGUGGCUAUUGACCAAGCAUCAUUUUACUAAGAUCUAUGUUUCUCUUAUGACCUAGGGGCCUGAUCCCAAGGCUGUGAAUGAGCUUAUUGGCAUCGAGGGUGUGCUAAAUGCGAUCGUACAGAACUUGGAAAAGGCGUAUGUCUCUUAACAGACAUCUUUGUAUUUUGCAUUGAAUUUCAAUUAAUUAUUUUACUCUCCGUUUGGUUGGUUUUCUAAGAUUCAAGGAGACCUAUCCUUGUCCUGUUGUUAACUUAUUACUCGUUACAACUGGUUCCAGUUAUUUAUUCUGGUUCUUACAGUUCCAUGAAGAAUAUUGUUCAGAUUCACUGACCUGUGCUCUGUAACUGGCCUUCACUAUAUGAUCGUAAUAUAGGCUUGUAGAAGCAGUACUUCCUUUCAACCUCCUCAUUUAUUAGUAAAUUAGUAUCAUGUGCCAAGUUGUAUUUGCUGGACACUUGCUACUAUUUUCCUUGUGCAGUUGCUCCAGUCCUGGUUAUAUUUUCUAGGUAUUUCUGUGAUCUGUAAAUGGCAUGAGAACAUUUAACUAAAGUUUAUAGGAGUGGCAUGCAUGUUUUUGCUCAUUACUCCCACUGAUGAGUUAGCGAUCUUUCAGGGAUGAAGAGCUAGCAACUGAGGUGGCGUGGGUAGUGGUAUAUCUUUCAGCACUUUCAGAAAAAGCUAUUAGCUUAAUAGUGAGAAGCCAUGUGCCUCAGUUGCUGAUUCGACGUCUGCUAGCAUCUGAGAACUUACAGUUGCUCAUUCCGGUAUUAUCUCUUCUUUCCUCUUCCGAUCUCAUAGUGUUCUUUUUGCUUAUUCACACUUUUGGCGCUUUCCCUGGAAAUGCUUAUUAUUAACAAUGUUUAUCGUAGUUAACUACUACCCAGCAAACUGACCGUAUCUUAAAGAGUAAUGCCUCCUGGCUCAAACUUCGAACUUCCGUAACCAUGUUUAGAAUAUGGUUGUCAAUUUGAUAUCCAAUGCAUGAAUGAGCAGAUCAUGUCUGAUAGAGCCGUCAAAUAAAAAAGCUGCAGUUAUAAGGAUACUUUCUCAUCAAUAAUUGUGCACUUUUUAUUAAACCUCCAAGAGUCUAUGUGGUGUGAUUUUUACUAUCAGGCCCUUCCUUGCAGUUUUGCCCUCAAAAGAAGUGUAUUUGAUUUCACCGCUCAUGCAAAUUGAUACUUGUACUUUAAAUAGGUACUUCGUGGUUUAGGAAAUGUUGUAGCUGGGGAUGGAUACAUGGUUGAUUCAAUCCUAAUUGUUGGGAACAAUAUCACAGGUUAGCUAAUGAACCCUUUUGUCUCUAAUCAUAUAAUAGCACCAUGUUUCAUUUGCUAAUGAUUUACAGUCUGCAAGUACUAACUAAAUUUGUUCUUAGAUCAAGCUUUAUCAAGUCUUAUAAAAUGCUUGAGGAGUGACAAUAGGGUUCUCAGGAAGGUCUGAUUUCCUUUUCUGGUUCAAGUUUACUUCAUUUGGCCAACACGUAUUAUUCUUUUGAUUUCAAAUUCGUGGACUGCGUAUGUAGGAGGCUUCAUGGGUAUUGUCAAACAUAGCAGCAGGCAGCUUUGAGCACAAGAAAUUGAUUUUUACCAGUGAGGCCACACCUGUGCUGAUACACCUCCUGAAUAAUGCACAAUAUGAUAUCCGUAAGGAAGCAGCCUACACCCUGGGCAACCUGUGUGUUGUCCCAGCAGGAAGUAGUGAACCCCCAAACAUAAUCGUGGAACAUUUAGUCUCGAUCAUAAACAGUGGAGCCCUCCCAGGAUUCAUAAAUUUGCUCAGAUCUGCUGAUAUAGAGAGCGCGAGACUUGGACUUCAGUUCCUGGAACUGGUGAGGAAAUGCUACUGCCUUGAGCUAUUUCAAUCUUAUUCCCAAAACCUCGUUCAUCAUAUGAGGCCGUCUCUACAGAUACGCUAAGAGGUGUAUUACCGAUUUUUGCAGGCCAUGAGGGGAUAUCCCGAUGGACAAGGCCCAAAUCUUGUGGAGAGGGAGGAUGGCAUUGAGGCUAUGGAGAGGUUCCAGUUCCACGAGAACGAUGUGAUGAGGAACAUGGCGAAUGGAUUGGUUGACAAGUAUUUCGGUGAGGAUUACGGCGUAGAAUGAGAGCCGGUGUUGUUGGAUGCCAUCCAUCCAUCCAUACAUACAUACAUAGACCUGGAUGAACUCAGAGUUGUGCUCAGAUUGUAAAACGCAUGCAUUCUUGUGCAUGCAAUCGUAGAACACAAUGCUGUUGAAUGUCUUUGUGAUUGCCCAGUGUUCCUCCCCGCUAACCUGCAGGCACUGGCAUACGAGUCCGAGUGGGACAAGAAGUCGAUCGGCGGCCCUCCGUGUAUAAUAGAGACACAGGCCGUAUCUCUCUAAGGUGCUAACUACAGUAUUAAUCUGGAGACCGUGAAGCACCAACAACAAGAGCUAUAGCUUAAUUGGGAAGGAAUUAAAUCGACAUCCGCAUUUUUCACGACGCAGAUGGAACAAACAUGUGAGCCAGAUGCAGUACGUUCCCUGUUGGUGGAGAGGACCAUGCAGGCGCUCAAGACGGUCUCGGCGCCACCGGACGGCCGCGGCUGCCCCAUCUGCCUCGACGAGGCCGUGACGAUCGCCCCUAAUCGGAUUGGGCCAGACCGAUGACGUAUUAUUGCCCACCUGUCAAACCCAAGACGGACUGCCCCUAAUCGGCUUGGGCCAGGCUGGCAAGCCCUAAUCGGCCUGGCCCAGACCGAUGGCGUAUUAUUUUUGAAAAUUCUAAAAAGUUCGUAUUAUUUAAAAAAAAUAGCCGCAAAAACACCAUGUUCGAUACUCACAAAUCACAUCACAUUAGCAUUUUCAUCCUAGACCUACUUCUUUUGGUCAUGGUCACCAGACUUGAUUAUGGCCCUCUGAAGCCCAAAAGAAGAGAAAAUUUCCCACCAGCUGUCAGGAGAAACCCAACCCAAAUCAUGUGUAAAAACAGCUGCCAGGAGAAACUGGUCCGGACCAGUUUCUUGGGCUUCUCCGCGUAGCAUUUUCGGACUUGCCCUCGCGGCGAACCGUUUUUACGGCCAAAAUGCCACCGCCAAGUUAUACCCGCGAACCAUUUUUUACUAAGACCCGAGUCCAUGUCCAUCGCCACCUCCCUCCAUCUCCCCCAGAACCGGCCACCCCGCCUACUCCCUCCAUCCCGACCGCCGGCCGCCGCCCUCAUCAGCUCCCUCGGAUCCGGCCGCCGCCAUCCCCAUCUACCCUGCAACCGCCACCUCCCUCCAUCUCCCCCGCAACCGGCCGCCCCGCGCGCCUACCCCCUCCAUCUCGACCGCCGGCCACUGCCAUCCCCAUCUACCCCGCAACCGCUGCCCCCUCCCCUCCUCCCCUCAUCAGCUCCCUUGGAUCCGGCCGCCGCCAUCCCCAUCUACCCUGCAACCGCCACCUCCCUCCAUCUCCCCCGCAACCGGCUGCCCCACACGCCUACCCCCUCCAUCCCGACUGUCGGCCGCCGCCAUCCCCAUCUACCCCGCAACCGCCGCCCCCUCCCCUCAUCUUCCUGGAUCUACGCCCCUCCCUCUUCCCUCUUCAGCCGCUGCAGCUGCCCCAGAUCUGCCGCCGCCGCACUUCGCCCCUUGUCAACGCUAGCACGACCUCAUAGCCCUACCGGAGAGCUCCAGGACGACGUUGCCCCGCCACCGGACCUCGUCUCUUCACCGCCAGCCUCCGCCAGAGACCGCCGCCCGUAGAUCCGCCAUGACCUCCCCGGAGCGCCGCCGGAUGAGAAGACCUCCUCCCCGACUCCUCUGCCCAAGCUCCUACCGUCCUACGCCCCCUAGUCAAUCGAGUUCCUCCCCACCCCAGGUCGCCGAGCUCCUCUGGUUCUCUAGCAAUACUGUGUUUUUUCAGUGGUUCUAGUAAAAUUUCCGUUGCUUGGUGAACUUGUGAUUCUGGUACAAUUUUUUUAUGUUAGGCAUGGAUGAAUCUCAGAAAUUGGUUGGAUCUAAAUUGUGAGUCUCCAAUCUUGACUCUUUUUGUAUCUCAAGAAAAUUUAACAUCUAAGUGUGUAUUCUCUGUUGUUUGCUGAACUCGUCGUGAACCUGCACUAGUUUCAUGUUUAGCACAAGUUCUGAACUGAAAUUUCAGAAGCCAAAAAAAAAAGAAUGUAAACAGUUUCGGGAGCUUCUCUGGGCAGCAGCUUGUGAGAAAUUCAGCUGAACCUGGCUUCCCGAGCGAAGCCACGUGAAAGCUAAAGCAUAGUUAAUACGCCCCCACGUGAAAGCUAAAGCUCUGACGAGUGGUGUGUCCGGUCGAUUCCACUCCACAAGCCAUCAAGUCCCAAGAAAUGAGCCGAGUUGGAGGAGAGGGAGCUCUGGCCGUGGUGCUCGCGCAAGCCGCCGCCAUGACGCCGGCGCCCAAGACGGAGCUGCCGCCGCCGCAGGCCGACCUCGACUUCCCCAUCUUCUUCGACAAGACCAAGGUUUUCGAGCUCCUCCACUGCCAUGUGUGCCGCAAUCCCCUCAAGCCCCCAAUCUUCAAGGUCGGUCAAUGCCCCCAAUCCGUAUCUACAGUAGUACCGCAUUCGAUUCGAUCCCCAACUCUCGCUUCAGAUCCUAAAUCUCCAAUGCCCUGAUUCGAAUUUCUGAUCUGCGCAAAUCUUGGCGACAUGCAUGCAGUGCGAAUCGGGGGGGCACCUGAUCCUGAUGUGCGCGGCGCGCACCGCGGGGCCUGCGCCGGCGCCGAGGCCAUUGCCGGCGCCGCCAGGGUGAGCUGCGGCAACGAGAGGUUUGGCUGCGACGUGGCCUACCACGACGCCGAAGCCCACCGCCGGGCCUGUAUCCACGCGCCCUGCGGCCCUAUCGAGUAAUUUGAGGCCCUGGUGCAAAAAGCAAAAUGAGGCCCUAAAAUAACAAAUGCAGCAUAACCAAAGUUGGAUGAACUAGAGAACCUUGACUUAUUGCCAUCUGGAAUUCUUAUUUCUAGCGUUGCUGCAAACAAUCAGAAUUUAUGAGUUGGGUGAGUUUGUACCAAAUUUGCUUUACUAAUUUUUUCCAACCAUUGGCUAAGCCAAAAGAUGGUCAAGAAUUUAUUUUCCAUUUUCCAAAGAUUUGUGGAAGGAUUGUGAUGGGGAUUGAUAAGGUUCCGUAUGCAACCAAAAUUUGAGAAACCAACUAAGCAAACAAGAACAAAUCUUCAUGGGCUGUCAAAAAUUUAGCAGGGCAAAUGUAGUCAUAAACCAAACAUAUCCCAAAUCUUGUCUCUAGCUUCCAAGUUUGACAAAUAACUGUUCUGGGGAGCCAACUGACAAACCUGAGUUUCCCCUGAACAUUUCUGAAUCCCAGAGCAUUGAGCUCCAGGUAAACUAGAGCUGUUUGUGGCUUGUACCUGCAUGUUGUGCAUUCCCAGGUGUUGCAUUGGUGCUUGACUCCUUGGAGUACCAGCCUGUGAUCUGUAAGAGUUACAAGUUGGUCCUUGUACGGUCACGCUCUGGUCUACUUAUGACACAGUUGCUGUUGGCCGUGCUGCAAUGCCUCUUUGGAGACGACAUGUUAUUUGCAUACUACUGGAUUGAGACAGAAGAACUGCAACAGCUUCUUUGUGUUCUCUGCUAGUGUUGGGAGAGAAUGGCAAAAGAAAAGGAAGAUCUGGCAAGCUCCAAGAGAAAGGGACUAAAAGCAGCUAUCUCUGCUAUUCCCUCGGAAUUUUUCAGAUAGAAGCAAGCAGGGGGAGCUUCGAUAUCUCAGCAUUGAACUGAAUUUUGUUUGAAAGGAGGAGAUUCAGAGCUCAGUUUUAUGGAGAGAUUGUAGGAUUCGGUGCUGGGAUGGUUUGACUUUAAAUUUUAACAAGGGUUGUCGCUAGCAAGACUGAAGUUGCCUUACCAUUCUAAUAUAUAUUUCAUGUCGGCUCAAGAAAAAGCAAGAUGUCAUCCCUUUGUUAACACUGAAGAAUGUAUCGUGUCCUGGGGCUGUUAGUACAGUAUCUGCCAGAUUAGCAGUGUGUUUCUAAGCAAGAAAUUAACGGCAGCCGAUGAGCUGAUGAUGCAUGCACCUUAACAUUGCAUAGCAGUUAGCACCAACAAUAACGAAACGGAAAUCAAUUGCAUCAGAAGCAAUGGGGAAAAAACAAACAGAGGCAGGCAAGAGCAAACAGUUGCAGAAAUACUAGCAUGCAUUUGGUGUUUUGCAGAUACUGUUGCAGUUACAGUUGAGCGAAAAAGUUUCAGAAAUAGGCAUGCACUUGGUGUUCUUCAGAUGUUGUUUGCGAUUCAGCUAAAAAGCUUAGAUUGAUUGAUCCACACCUGAUCGAUCUCAGAAAUUGAUUCGCCAAUCAAAACAAUAUAUGUCCAUUCGGGUCGGAUGAUGCGGUUGGAGUGCAGUCAGGGCGCGGCGCGCUUGAGGAGCGCCCAGGCGUCGAAGAACUCGCGCACGGCGGCGUCGCGCAUGAGCUCCACGGCGCGCCGGGCCUCCAGGACGUCGCGUCUGGCGUCCCCCACGAGCUUCCUCGCCACCGAGCCCCACUGGCUCCGGCGCGGGGAAUCGGGCGACCGCCAGCGGAGGAAGUCCUCGGCGGCCGCGGUGGCCGACGCCGCGGCGCUCAGCCUGAGCAGCGCGUCGUGCGCGUUGGGGAGGAAAGCGGCCCGGUGGUCGCAGCGCGCCGCCCAGGCCGGGCCGUCGUCGCGGAGGCCGAGGCGCGCGGCGGAGAGGGCCAGGACGUGGCCGGCCUCGCCGUGGAGCGCGACGAGGCGCGUGAUCUCGCGGUGGGCGGCGGUGAGGGGUCCGCUGGGGCUGAUUGCGCUGGCCAGGAGGUUGGCCCAGUGGUCGAAGCCGGCGUCGAGCAGCUCGUUGUGGAUGCGCUCGUCGUAGGGGGCGAUCUCGGCCUCGCCAUCGCUGGUGUCCAUGGCGGCCGCGGAGCCGUACCUCCGCCCGCCGGUGGUGUUCAUCAAGGGGGAGUAGCUGGGGAACCCAGAGCCGUAGCUCUGGUCGCCGUCGAGGGUGGUGAACAAGGGGGAUCCGACGGUGGUGUGCGCGAGGCCGCAGCUGUUGGCAGUCCUCAAGAGGGCCCCGAAGCGGCGCCCGGAGUCGGAGUCGGAGCCGCCGCCGGUGGUGCUCUCCUCGGGAGAGACGACGACCUCGACCUCGACGUCGUCGUCGUCCUCGGGGCUUCCCCAGAUGUCCUCGCCGAGCAGCUUGCAGGCGUCGUUGAUGCUGGCGAGAAGCCCCUCCGAGGUGCCGACGAGUAGGAGGGUCUCGGGCACCAUGAGCGCCGCCUCCCUCCAGAGCCGCUUCUCCUCCAUCGAAACCGAUGGAGCUCUGCCGCGCGGGCGCGUGCGUGUGAUGGCGGUGGAUGAGAUGAGCGGGACGUAGAAGAAGAAGAAGAAGAGGAAGAAGGGGGCGAUUCCAAUUUGUAAUGGUUCCUUGCGUUGGAAGACGCUUUAAAUAAAGUUACCGCCUGCUGUAAAUAAACGCGGAUGCUCUUCCUUCCCAGGUUCGUUUUACUUUUACGCCGGCGAGGUGGGUUCCUCCUCAAGGCUCAAGCAGAAGCAGGAUUUUGCGCACGUACGUUUCUGCCAACUGCUCCCACCGUCCCAUAACACGAGGCACACAAGCAUUUAAUUUGAUUCGUCUUUUAACAAAAAUUACAUCAUUAGAUUCAUUAUCAAAAGAACUUUCUGAUGAUAUAAUUUUUUAAUUAUUUAAUUUAUAUUUGGUUAGUUAAAUUAAUGAUCUAGGGAUGCGUGCGUGCCUCUCUCAUAUCAUGGGACGGAGGGAGUACACCACAAACUACUUGUGUGCCCCAACCAACUACUCCCUCCAUUACAAGAGAUGGAGAUCAAGAUGCUCAGGGCUACUACGUCGUGAUUUCUAGAUGAAAUAAAAAAUACCAUCAUCACGUUGGUAAACAAUUUGACGUUUGUUCGGACAAGAGACACAUCAUUUUGUGCUUAUACAAACACGGCGAACUAUAUCACAUAACAUUAUCAUAUUUAAAUACCAACUGAGCCCCUAAACCGGGCAAUCAAGUAUGUGUGUGUGUGUGGGGGAGGCUAUUGAGCUUACGGUGGUUUUCACGUAUGAUCGGUAUGCUGCAUUAAAUUUAGUGACACUUGCAAAGUAUUGACCCUCCAAAUAUAGCAUUAGCAUGUUCAUUUACAACAGAAAAGGCUCUCUCUAGCUUUUCUACCCAGCUUUCCUAUCAUGUGAAGUGGGGUGGCAGAACUGCAUCCGCUCCCACUCUAGCUUCUCGUGAGUUAAUUCUUACUCACUCCGAUCCAUAAUAAGUGUCUCACUCCGAUCCAUAGUAAGUGUCUGAGGUUUAGCUCUGGUGAAGAGCGGCCAAUCAAUGCAGGGUCAGCUUGAUUAAGCCGGUAAUGCACCAUCCAAUCUCCCGAUGCUAUGUCAUGUAUCAUAAGAUCAAAAUUAUCAUGUUGUUGAUCAUGCAAAUUUACAGGUAGGGGUCU